rnacentral:rRNA from 1 species
AACGAACGCUGGCGGCAUGCCUAACACAUGCAAGUCGAACGAGACCUUCGGGUCUAGUGGCGCACGGGUGCGUAACGCGUGGGAACCUGCCCUUAGGUUCGGAAUAACUCCCUGAAAGGGGUGCUAAUACCGGAUAAUGUCUUCGGACCAAAGAUUUAUCGCCUUUGGAUGGGCCCGCGUUGGAUUAGCUAGUUGGUAGGGUAAAAGCCUACCAAGGCGACGAUCCAUAGCUGGUCUGAGAGGAUGAUAAGCCACACUGGGACUGAGACACGGCCCAGACUCGUACGGGAGGCAGCAGUGGGGAAUAUUGGACAAUGGGCGAAAGCCUGAUCCAGCAGUGCCGCGUGAGUGAUGAAGGCCUUAGUGUUGUAAAGCUCUUUUACCCGGGAUGAUAAUGACAGUACCGGGAGAAUAAGCUCCGGCUAACUCCGUG